rnacentral:rRNA from 1 species
GACGAACGCUGGCGGCGUGCCUAAUACAUGCAAGUCGAACGCAGUGGGGACGGGUGAGUAACACGUGGGCAACCUCCCAUCAGAGGGGAUAACACUUGGAAACAGGCGCUAAUCCGAUACUGACUGAUGGAGCCGCGGUGCAUUAGCUAGUUGGUGAGGUAACGGCUCACCAAGGCCACGAUGCAUAGCCGGCCUGAGAGGGUGAUCGGCCACACUGGGACUGAGACACGGCCCAGACUCCUACGGGAGGCAGCAGUGGGGAAUAUUGCACAAUGGGCGCAAGCCUGAUGCAGCCAUGCCGCGUGUAUGAAGAAGGCCUCCGGGUUGUAAAGCACUUUCAGCGGGGAGGCGUUACUCGCAGAAGAAGCACCGGCUAACUCCGUGCCAGCAGCCGCGGUAAUAC